rnacentral:rRNA from 1 species
GACGAACCGUGCGAACGUUGUUCGGAAUCACUGGGCAUAAAGGGCGCGUAGGCGGCCACGCACGUCCGUUGUGAAAUCGCCCGGCUCAACUGGGCGGGGUCAGCGGAUACGGUGUGGCUCGAGCAAGCUAGGGGGCAAUGGAAUUCCCGGUGUAGUGGUGGAAUGCGUAGAUAUCGGGAGGAACACCAGUGGCGAAGGCGGUUGCCUGGAGCUUUGCUGACGCUGAGGCGCGAAAGCGUGGGGAGCGAUCCGG